rnacentral:rRNA from 1 species
AACGAACGCUGGCGGCGUGCCUAACACAUGCAAGUCGUACGAGAAAAUCCGUUUCGGCGGAUGAGUAAAGUGGCGCACGGGUGAGUAACGCGUGGAUAAUCUGCCUUUAAGCUGGGAAUAACUCAUCGAAAGGUGGGCUAAUACCCGAUAAUGCUAUGCAGCUAAGGUUGUAUAGUCAAAGAGAGCCUCUGCUUGCAAGCCCUCACUUAGAGAUGAGUCCGCGUACCAUUAGCUAGUUGGUAGGGUAAUGGCCUACCAAGGCGAUGAUGGUUAGCUGGUCUGAGAGGAUGAUCAGCCACACUGGAACUGAGACACGGUCCAGACUCCUACGGGAGGCAGCAGUGAGGAAUAUUGCGCAAUGGGGAAACCCUGACGCAGCAACGCCGCGUGAGUGAGGAAGGUUUUCGGAUCGUAAAGCUCUGUCGGGUGGGAAGAAAUGUAUGGAGGUUAAUAGCCUUUGUACUUGACGGUACCGCCAAAGG